ACUCCAACAACCCCCAAACCCAGUCCUCACCUCCCACAUGCUUUUCAUCACCCGCUCUCACAUCCCAUCUGGGGCCUCUGCUUCCAUCCUACCAUUUCGCAAGCCUGGCCAACUCAAGCUCCGUGUGCUGCACCUAGAGCAGCCCAUCUCUGUGUCAGGAGAACUGCAAUCCAAGCAAAUGUGGUGGGUGUGAAGCUUUCAAGAAGUUGGGUCAAGAACAAGGACUGAAAGAGGAGCAUCAAUUUAUGGGGGCCACUGAGGCUUUCAGAGAUUUUGUGACCUACCAAACUGGCACAGCUAGUAAAUGGAUGACAAGCCAUUAACAUGGAAAGAAGAAGAGGCAUCCAAAGUGUUGGGUCCGCAUCGCCCUUGCCUUGGAGGAAGCUCCAAAUAGAGGGAAGGAUGGUUUCCAGCAGUCCCUGAAGUGCCUUUCCUCCUUCGUGGGAUCCAGUUACACCCAGCAGACUUCAGUUUGAAUAAACAGAACUAGAUGAAUACACCUAGGGAAUCUGUGAGGCCAGCCUCAGCUUUUAACAUCCAGCUACAGGGAGGUGAGAGAAGCUUCAGCCAGUUGUUUUCUAAGAGCGAGAUAAA
rnacentral:lncRNA from 10 species